CUUGACAUUACACAAUUGGACAGUAGGUUAAGCCGUCUCUAUGAAGAUUUCUUCUCUGCAUCUGAUGUUGGACCUUGAAGUCCAUAGACCCAACUAGUCAAGAAGGGGAAAAUGGUAAAGCAAGGGAGAUAAAGAAGAGGCUAGAACCCACAAACACAAGCUGGAACCUCUUGAGGUUGGACUAAAAUGCUUAUAAGUUCCUCUUGCCUCUACCUCUAAGUGACCUUGGCAACAAAACUAAACACACACACAUGGUCCAGAACUCAGAGAAGCUCAGGGAGAAUGAGGGAAAGCAGAGCAGUUACAGAUCCAGCUGCAGCUUCACACCAACAGAGGCAAGUCAGCAGAUCAGCUGCAAGGCAUGUGAGCUAGGAAAGGACUGUUGCUUUCCUUCUGUCUUUCAAGUCUUCCAGGAAUCUUCCUUGUAGCUCACUGGAACUAGAAACCUUUUUAACAAGUGAAUUCUGGGAAAUGUAGUUUAGCGUAGACAAGUGGGCAUAUUGCAAAGCCAUCCAAAGAAGCAUCUAAUUCAUGUUGCAGGAGAACAUUAGAAAAUGUUUUCAGGGUAAGUAACAUUUGAACUCAGUCUUUAAGAGUGAUCAGGACUUAAUCGGGAAGGGGAAAUGGCAAUUAAGGCAGACACGAAGAAUGAAAAAGGCUAGUAUCAGAAAUAUGGAAAUAUGGUAAAAAGCCAAUACCCAAAGCCACAGGGAAUAUAGUAGUAGUCAAAAUUGAUUACUUUAACCUGCUAAUUUAAGCAAAGGAGAAUGCAUGGCAAGGAGAUGAUGGGGCAUCUUUGCAGAAGGAAUUUGGGAAAGGCUUAUUGUAGAAGUGGGGCUGGUGAUGCAUGAUUCUAAAGAGGAGUUAAGAAAACAGAGGUCACUUCUGGUUUCAGUGCUUUCUGGAAGUAUUAGGUAUCAUGGUGGACUCAACUACAUCCUCCCAAAAUUCACAUAUAAAGUCCUAAUCCCCAGGAUCACAUAAUGUGACUUUAUUGGUAGAUAGUGC
rnacentral:lncRNA from 1 species